UACCAGCACCCCGAGUGGUUGGGACGAUUAUUGGGCCUAAAGCAUCCGUAGCCGGUCCUACAAGUCUUCCGUUAAAUCCACCUGCUUAACAGAUGGGCUGCGGAAGGUACUAUAGGGCUAGGAGGCGGGAGAGGCAAGCGGUACUCAGUGGGUAGGGGUAAAAUCCUCUGAUCCAUUGAAGACCACCAGUGGCGAAGGCGGCUUGCCAGAACGCGCUCGACGGUGAGGGAUGAAAGCUGGGGGAGCAAACCGG
rnacentral:rRNA from 1 species